rnacentral:rRNA from 1 species
GACGAACCGUGCGAACGUUAUUCGGAAUCACUGGGCUUAAAGCGCGUGUAGGCGGAUGGGUACGUCGGUAACUGAAAGCCCCCGGCUCAACCGGGGAAGGGGUGCCGAAACGACCUGUCUGGAGGGACGUAGGGGGACCUGGAACUUCCGGUGGAGCGGUGAAAUGCGUUGAGAUCGGAAGGAACGCCCGUGGCGAAAGCGAGGUCCUGGACGUCUGCUGACGCUGAGACGCGAAAGCUAGGGGAGCAAACGGG